AAUUCAAAUUUAUUGCUAUUUUGUGCAUUUUUCCUUUGAUCUUUUUUUUUUUAUAAUUUUUCCUAUCAUGCUACUUGCUUGUGAUGGAAAAUUAUCGCUUGAAACUAAGAGGCACGUGGCGGUGCAAAUGAAAUUGACAUGAAAUUGACAACGUCAUCAUAGGUAAAAUAGAGAUAAACAGAUUAUCAUUGGUCAUUUCAACUUGAUUGCAUUUCUCACAUUCG
rnacentral:lncRNA from 1 species